rnacentral:tRNA from 1 species
GCCCUUUUAGUAUAUUGGUAUUACAUGGCCUUUGUAACGCUGAGAAUGCGGUUCGAUUCCGUGAUGGGGCACCA